rnacentral:rRNA from 1 species
AGCAGCCGCGGUAAUUCCAGCUCCAAUAGCGUAUAUUAAAGUUGUUGCAGUUAAAAAGCUCGUAGUUGAACUUCGGGGUCUACCCAUUGGUCAGGCUUAAUUGUCUGCACUGGUGGGAUGGAUCUCUACCUUCUGAGGAACUUUCAUGCCAUUUAUUUGGUGUGAUGGGAAAUCAGGACUGUUACUUUGAAAAAAUUAGAGUGUUUAAAGCAGACUAUCGUCUGAAUACAUUAGCAUGGAAUAAUGAAAUAGGACGGACUGAUUCUAUUUCGUUGGUUUCUAGGAUCACCGUAAUGAUUAAUAGGGAUAGUUGGGGGCAUUAGUAUUCAAUUGUCAGAGGUGAAAUUCUUGGAUUUAUUGAAGACUAACUACUGCGAAAGCAUUUGCCAAGGAUGUUUUGCAUUAAUCAAGAACGAAAGUUAGGGGAUCGAAGACGAUCAGAUACCGUCGUAGUCUUAACCAUAAACUAUGCCGACUAGGGAUCGGACGAAGUUAAUUUUAUAAUGACGCGUUCGGCACC